GAAUUCAGAUAAUUCUCCAGAAUUUAAUUUAACAAAUAAGAGGAAAACCACGGAGCUUCAAAAGUUGAUAGACUUUUCUGAAGAACUGACUUGAAUGUUAUGCUGUCUUGCCAGUAAGUCAAAAUCUGAAGUACAGAAGACACUGGGUGGAGGCCGCCUGUUCCCCAAGAACACGAGCCGACGGAAGAAAGUGCACAGUGCAUGGAGCCAAGCCCACUCGGCGGCCACUUCCGGAGGCCAGUGGACCUGGGUGUUUUCAACAGGCAUAGGAAAGACAGUUCUGGGUGAGCAGAGUGUGGAACUGAGCCUCUCUGAGCCUGGGUGAUUCAUCUGCAGACAUGAAGUGCCAGGAGGUUACCUCCCAGGUGGCUGGAGGACAGACGCAGUGAUUGGACAUGCAGCUGCCUAGCACCAGGCAGGGAGGACAGCAGGAAGAAGAGCACUUAGUGC